CCUACGGGCGGCAGCAGUGGGGAAUAUUGCACAAUGGGGGAAACCCUGAUGCAGCGACGCCGCGUGAGCGAAGAAGUAUUUCGGUAUGUAAAGCUCUAUCAGCAGGGAAGAAAAUGACGGUACCUGAGUAAGAAGCUCCGGCUAAAUACGUGCCAGCAGCCGCGGUAAUACGUAUGGAGCAAGCGUUAUCCGGAUUUACUGGGCGUAAAGGGAGCGUAGGCGGCCUGCCAAGUCUGAUGUGAAAUACCGGGGCUCAACCCCGGGGCUGCAUUGGAAACUGGCAGGCUGGAGUGUCGGAGAGGCAGGCGGAAUUCCUAGUGUAGCGGUGAAAUGCGUAGAUAUUAGGAGGAACACCAGUGGCGAAGGCGGCCUGCUGGACGGUGACUGACGCUGAGGCUCGAAAGCGUGGGGAGCAAACAGGAUUAGAUACCCUUGUAGUC
rnacentral:rRNA from 1 species